UACGUAGGGUGCAAGCGUUGUCCGGAAUUAUUGGGCGUAAAGAGCUCGUAGGCGGCUUGUUGCGUCGACCGUGAAAACCCGGGGCUCAACUUCGGGCUUGCAGUCGAUACGGGCGGGCUAGAGUUCGGUAGGGGAGACUGGAAUUCCUGGUGUAGCGGUGAAAUGCGCAGAUAUCAGGAGGAACACCGGUGGCGAAGGCGGGUCUCUGGGCCGAUACUGACGCUGAGGAGCGAAAGCGUGGGGAGCGAACAGG
rnacentral:rRNA from 1 species